rnacentral:rRNA from 1 species
GUAGGUGGCAAGCGUUGUCCGGAAUUAUUGGGCGUAAAGCGCGCGCAGGCGGUUCUUUAAGUCUGAUGUGAAAGCCCACGGCUCAACCGUGGAGGCUCAUUGGAAACUGGAGAACUUGAGUACAGAAGAGGAAAGCGGAAUUCCACGUGUAGCGGUGAAAUGCGUAGAGAUGUGGAGGAACACCAGUGGCGAAGGCGGCUUUCUGGUCUGUAACUGACGCUGAGGCGCGAAAGCGUGGGGGAGCAAACAGGAUUAGAUACCCUGGUAGUCCACGCCGUAAACGAUGAGUGCUAAGUGUUAGGGGGUUUCCGCCCCUUAGUGCUGCAGCUGACGCAUUAAGCACUCCCGCCUGGGGAGUACGGCCGCAAGGCUG